AUGUAUUAAAUUUAAGAGUAAGGACAAUAAUAAUGUGGCGUGACACUGGACUCACUACUAAUGUGAGAUGAAUUUUUGAUCAGGUAAAGGUUGCUCCUAAGGUGAGUCACCUAUUUUGAGGGAUGACUGGGCAUAGUUAUCUACUCA
ensembl:snRNA U12 U12 minor spliceosomal RNA